AGGAUGAACGCUGGCGGUAUGCUUAACACAUGCAAGUCGAACGAAAGCUUUAUGCUUUAGUGGCGAACGGGUGCGUAAUACGUGAGAAUCUGCCCUUAGGAGGAGAAUAACUUCUGGAAACGGUUGCUAAGUCUCUAUAUGCCGAGAGGUAAAAUAGUUUACACUGCCUAGGGAUGAGCUCACGCCUGAUUAGCUUGUUGGUAAGGUAAUGGCUUACCAAGGCCACGAUCAGUAGCUGGUUUGAGAGAACGAUCAGCCACACUGGGACUGAGACACGGCCCAGACUCCUCCGGGAGGCAGCAGUGAGGAAUUUUCCGCAAUGGGCGAAAGCCUGACGGAGCAAUACCGCGUGAGGGAUGAAGGAUUUUGGUCUGUAAACCUCUUUUCUCAAGAAAGAAGUUCUGACGGUACUUGAGGAAUAAGCAUCGGCUAACUCCGUGCCAGCAGCCGCGGUAAUACGGGGGAUGCAAGCGUUAUCCGGAUUUAUUGGGCGUAAAGCGCCUGUAGGUUGUUUAAUAAGUCUGUUGUUAAAGACUAGGGCUUAACCCUAGGAAAAGCAAUGGAAACUACUAGACUUGAGUAUGAUAGGGGUAGAGGGAAUUUCUAGUGUAGCGGUGAAAUGCGUAGAUAUUAGAAAGAACACCGGCGGCGAARGCGCUCUACUGGAUCAUUACUGACACUCAGAGGCGAAAGCUARGGUAGCAAAAGGGAUUAGAUACYCCUGUAGUCCUAGCCGUAAACGAUGGAUACUACAUGUUGCGUUUUUAAUGCAGUAUGGUAGCUAACGCGUUAAGUAUCCCGCCUGGGGAGUACGGUCGCAAGGCUGAAACUCAAAGGAAUUGACGGGGGCCCGCACAAGCGGUGGAGCAUGUGGUUUAAUUCGAUGCAACGCGAAGAACCUUACCAAGGCUUGACAUACUACAGAUUUCUUUGAAAGAGGAAAGUGCCUUCGGGAAUGUAGAUACAGGUGGUGCAUGGCUGUCGUCAGCUCGUGUCGUGAGAUGUUGGGUUAAGUCCCGCAACGAGCGCAACCCUUAUUUUUAGUUGCUAAUUUAUUUUAGGUUUUCUAGAAAGACUGCCGGUGACAAACCGGAGGAAGGUGAGGAUGACGUCAAGUCAGCAUGCCCCUUAUGCCUUGGGCUACACACGUGCUACAAUGGUUAAGACAAAGAGUUGCGAGCUCGUGAGAGUCAGCUAAUCUCAUAAACUUAGCCUAAGUUCGGAUUGUAGGCUGCAACUCGCCUGCAUGAAGUCGGAAUCGCUAGUAAUCGCUGGUCAGCCAUACAGCGGUGAAUCC
rnacentral:rRNA from 1 species